GUAGGUGAACCUGCGGAAGGAUCAUUAACACGUAUCCACGUUCUACCUAAGCGAAUCGUGCGCUCGCGCACCUCCCUUCACACGUCACUGGUCGGAUCGACAGCCCUGCGCAGGAGAUUGAAUGGGCACGGCUCGCGCCGUCGCUGCCUGCGUUCCGCUCACAGGCGCAUGAGUCCGCUCGUGCGCCGACGAUCCCCUCGGUGACAGAAGGCAUGUCCGUCGGCUCGACUCCCGCUACAUCCGUUCAACGGCAGGGGGGCGAGUCGCACUCACACACACAUCAGUCACACCUUUUUUUGCUAGUUGACUUUUUGACUGCUGUCGGUCGUCGCUCGUCGGCGCCCGCUCAGCGCGUUUAAAUUCUAUUUGAACGAUAUCGUACAACUCUUAGCAAUGGAUAUCUCGGUUCUC
rnacentral:misc_RNA from 1 species